UCAGGAACACAUCUGUAGCCCAUGACGUCUUGCGUGGCCACACCCCCAAGGGACUUCAGCAGUAAUAAACUUUAGGCAAUAAGUGUAAACUUGACCUAGUCAUGGUUAUAAGAGAGCCGGUAAAACUCGUGCCAGCCACCGCGGUCAUACGAAUGAGCCCAAGCGGAUAAUCGACGGCGUAAAGAGUGGUUAGGGGCCCCCAAAACUAAAGCUAAACGCUCGCAAGGUCGUCGUACACAUUCGAUAGCAUGAAACCCCACCACGAAAGUGGCUUUAACCCAACCCGAACCCACGAUAGCUGGGAAACAAACUGGGAUUAGAUACCCCACUAUGCCCAGCCGUAAACAUCAAUAGAGACUAUACAAACUUUAUUCGCCCGGGAACUAUGAGCAUUAGCUUAAAACCCAAAGGACUUGGCGGUGCUUUAGACCCACCUAGAGGAGCCUGUCCUAGAACCGAUAACCCCCGUUCAACCUCACCGCUUCUUGCCAGACCCGCCUAUAUACCGCCGUCGUCAGCUUACCCCGUGAGGGGUCAGUAGUAAGCUAAAUUGGCACAGCCCAAAACGUCAGGCCGAGGUGUAGCACACGAAGUGUGGAAGAGAUGGGCUACAUUUUCUGCCACAGAAAAUUACGAAGGGGGAAAGAUGAAAAAACCCCCGAAGGAGGAUUUAGCAGUAAGCGAGGAGCAGAGCGCCUCGCUGAAGCCGGCCCUUUAGCGCGCACACACCGCCCGUCACCCUCCCCGAACCUACUCGCCAAGUAACAUAACACGCCAACCGGACAAAGAGGAGGCAAGUCGUAACAUGGUAAGUGUACCGGAAGGUGCACUUGGAACAAUACACACAGGGCGUGGCUAAACAGCAAAGCACCUCACUUACACCGAGAAGAUAUCCGUGCAAUUCGGAUCGCCCUGAUCU
rnacentral:ncRNA from 1 species